AGCACAUAAAUCUCUCCAGUUCUGCUCAUUCACCAAUGCAGCCCUUUUUCACUCUCAAGGUUUGUUGCUUAACAAUAGUUAACAGUGGUCAGUGAGGGUCUUCAUGCUAUUUUUAAAAAAUAUGGAUACAAUCUGGCAAAUUUUGUAGGCUAUGGAAAUCUGCGUCUCUCACACCAACUUCAACAACACAGACACACACCUGAGUAAACAAACAAAUGAAUGAAUAAAAUCCCAAGCAAAUUCAGUUUCAGCUGAAUGAAGAAGGAUUAAAAGUUGGGGAAGUGUAAGUUGGAAAAGGAUUAAGGACAGUUUUCUGGGUAUUGUAGUUCUUUCUUUAAUAGCGCUUUGACCCAUACUUCAAGAAUGAGCUUAAUUCGCCCCUUUAUCUUCUUUUUGCAGUUCUGUCUCCAGAGAUAUAAGAAAUAUCAGAGACAAGGCUGAGUAAGCAGCCAUAUUGUUUGUGUGGGUACCUGUAGCAGGAGCGAGGAUGGGAGGGCAAUCCUUCCUCUGCACCCCAGAGGGGGGGGGUGAACUUUCCUUCAGAACUGCUGUCUCUGGGAGAGACUCUGAACUCCCUUUAACGGGAAACAGAUGCGAAGAGAUUUGUUUCCCUGCACUACUGACCAAUCUUAAAUGGCUGUGUCAUUGGUGGCUUAACAGGUAAUGUCUUUCAUGAGUAUUGUGUAAUAGCACAAAUGUUAUUCCAUAAAAUUACAGAACAAGAGGAGACCAAAGAGCUGAGAGCAAAACACCAGGAAAAGAUGACUGAGAGAACUGCCACACUCGAGGAGGAAAACAAAUUAUUGUCAAGCGAAGUUGCCAGGCUUGCCAAAAAAAAAAAAAAAACAAACCUACCUGAAGGAGAAACUCCUUCAAAGUGAAGGAAGGCCUGCCCAAGAGGAAGAAUGCAUCCCAAUGAGAAACAGCUGGCUGGGGAAAAAACCCAAGGAAAACACAGGACAUGUAAUUACAUUAUUAACUUAACUAGUGGAGCAAAUUAGCAGAUCAAGGAAAUGCUGUGGAUGUAGCAUAUGCAGAAUUCAGUAAGGCAUUUGACAAAGUUGAUCACAGCCUACGUCUUGAUAAGAUAGAACAAUGUGGGAUAGACAGAAUCACCACCAGAUGGAUUCACGCUUGGCUGACCAACCACACUCAGUGUGUAGCCCUCAAUGAAACCACAUCUACCUGGAGGGAAGCCUGCAGUGGGAUACUUCAAGGUUCUGUCUUGGCCUCCUUAAUAUCUUCAUCAAUGAGCUAGAUGAGGGCAUAGAAGGGGAC